AUUGAACGCUGGCGGCAUGCCUUACACAUGCAAGUCGAACGGUAACGGGUCCUUCGGGAUGCCGACGAGUGGCGAACGGGUGAGUAAUAUAUCGGAACGUGCCCAGUAGUGGUGGAUAACUGCUCGAAAGAGCAGCUAAUACCGCAUACGCACUGAGGGUGAAAGGGGGGGAUCGCAAGACCUCUUGGUAUUGGAGCGGCCGAUAUCAGUUUAGCUAGUUGGUGGGGUAAAGGCCUACCAAGGCAACGAUCUGUAGUUGGUCUGAGAGGACGACCAGCCACACUGGGACUGAGACACGGCCCAGACUCCUACGGGAGGCAGCAGUGGGGAAUUUUGGACAAUGGGCGCAAGCCUGAUCCAGCAAUGCCGCGUGCAGGAAGAAGGCCUUCGGGUUGUAAACUGCUUUUGUCAGGGAAGAAAUCUUCUGGGCUAAUACCCCGGGAGGAUGACGGUACCUGAAGAAUAAGCACCGGCUAACUACGUGCCAGCCGCCGCAGUAA
rnacentral:rRNA from 1 species